rnacentral:rRNA from 1 species
CGGACGGGUGAGUAACACGUGGAUAACCUACCUAUAAGACUGGGAUAACUUCGGGAAACCGGAGCUAAUACCGGAUAAUAUAUUGAACCGCAUGGUUCAAUAGUGAAAGACGGUUUUGCUGUCACUUAUAGAUGGAUCCGCGCCGCAUUAGCUAGUUGGUAAGGUAACGGCUUACCAAGGCAACGAUGCGUAGCCGACCUGAGAGGGUGAUCGGCCACACUGGAACUGAGACACGGUCCAGACUCCUGCGGGAGGCAGCAGCC